rnacentral:rRNA from 1 species
GAUGGACGCUAGCUACAGGCUUAACACAUGCAAGUCGAGGGGAAACGGCAUCGAAAGCUUGCUUUUGAUGGGCGUCGACCGGCGCACGGGUGAGUAACGCGUAUCCAACCUGCCCAUCACUUGGGAAUAACCUUGCGAAAGUAAGACUAAUGCCCAAUGACAUCCCACGAAGGCAUCCGAAUGGGAUUAAAGAUUUAUCGGUGAUGGAUGGGGAUGCGUCUGAUUAGCUUGUUGGCGGGGUGACGGCCCACCAAGGCAACGAUCAGUAGGGGUUCUGAGAGGAAGGUCCUCCACAUUGGAACUGAGACACGGUCCAAACUCCUACGGGAGGCAGCAGUGAGGAAUAUUGGUCAAUGGGCGAGAGCCUGAACCAGCCAAGUAGCGUGCAGGAUGACGGCCCUAUGGGUUGUAAACUGCUUUUAUAAGGGAAUAAAGUGGGUCACGUGUGACUUUUUGCAUGUACCUUAUGAAUAAGGACCGGCUAAUUCCGUG